rnacentral:snRNA from 1 species
UGCCACACUUCUGAGCUC